AAGCGGUGGAGUAUGUGGUUUAAUUCGACGCAACGCGCUGAACCUUACCUAGGCUUGACAUCCGGGAAUUUGCUGGAAACAGUGAAGUGCUUUCAUUAGAAAGAGCCCGGUGACAGGUGCUGCAUGGCUGUCGUCGGCUCGUGUCGUGAGAUGUUGGGUUAAGUCCCGCAACGAGCGCAACCCUCGCCUUUAGUUGCCAGCAUUCAGUUGGGCACUCUAAAGGGACUGCCGGUGUCAAACCGGAGGAAGGUGGGAUGACGUCAAGUCCUCAUGGCCUUUAUGUCUAGGGCUACACACGUACUACAAUGGCAGGUACAAAGGGCAGCGACACAGCGAUGUGAUGCGAAUCCCGAAAAGCCUGUCUCAGUCCGGAUCGGAGUCUGCAACUCGACUCCGUGAAGUUGGAAUCGCUAGUAAUCGUGGAUCAGCAUGCCACGGUGAAUACGUUCCCGGGCCUU
rnacentral:rRNA from 1 species